rnacentral:tRNA from 1 species
AAGAUAUGUUGUACGAAUACAAGCUGCUAACUUAUUAUUCAAGUGGUUUAAGUCCAUUUAUAUCUUA